rnacentral:tRNA from 1 species
GGAGGCAUAGCUCAGUGGCAGAGUGCUUGCCUAGCAAGAGCAAUGCCCUGAAUUCAAAUCCCAGUACCACCA